CCUACGGGGAGCAGCAGUGAGGAAUAUUGGUCAAUGGGAGGAAUCCUGAACCAGCCAUGCCGCGUGCAGGACGACGGCUCUACGAGUUGUAAACUGCUUUUGUACCGGGGUAAAAUGCCUUACGUGUAGGGUUUUGAAAGUACGGUACGAAUAAGGAUCGGCUAACUCCGUGCCAGCAGCCGCGGUAAUACGGAGGAUCCGAGCGUUAUCCGGAUUCAUUGGGUUUAAAGGGUGCGUAGGUUGUUUUAUAAGUUAGAGGUGAAAUGUCCGAGCUCAACUCGGGAACUGCCUCUAAUACUGUUGAUCUAGAGAGUAGAUGCGGUAGGCGGAAUGUAUGGUGUAGCGGUGAAAUGCUUAGAGAUCAUACAGAACACCGAUUGCGAAGGCAGCUUACCAAUCUAUAUCUGACGUUGAGGCACGAAAGCGUGGGGAGCAAACAGGAUUAGAUACCCGUGUAGUC
rnacentral:rRNA from 1 species